rnacentral:rRNA from 1 species
UACGUAGGGUGCAAGCGUUGUCCGGAAUUAUUGGGCGUAAAGGGCUCGUAGGCGGUUUGUCGCGUCGGGAGUGAAAACCUCGGGCUUAACUCGGGGCUUGCUUUCGAUACGGGCAGACUGGAGGUAUGCAGGGGAGAACGGAAUUCCUGGUGUAGCGGUGAAAUGCGCAGAUAUCAGGAGGAACACCAAUGGCGAAGGCAGCACUCUGGGACGUGACUGACGCUGAGACGCGAAAGCGUGGGGAGCAAACAGG